GUGGAUGACCAGAGUAGCUGUGUAACAAACGGCACGAAGGUGACGUGGAAUUUCGAUGAAAGAUUAUUGGACAGUUGCUCUCUGGAGAUGCAACCAUCGGGCACACGCCAAGACCAAGUCAAUGUAGCGAAAGAGAUCAUGAUGACUGGGCAGCAGAACCAGUAC